AUACGUAGGGUGCGAGCGUUAAUCGGAAUUACUGGGCGUAAAGCGUGCGCAGGCGGUUGUGCAAGACAGGUGUGAAAUCCCCGGGCUUAACCUGGGAACUGCACUUGUGACUGCACGGCUAGAGUACGGUAGAGGGGGAUGGAAUUCCGCGUGUAGCAGUGAAAUGCGUAGAUAUGCGGAGGAACACCGAUGGCGAAGGCAAUCCCCUGGACCUGUACUGACGCUCAUGCACGAAAGCGUGGGGAGCAAACAGGAUUAGAUACCCUGGUAGUCCACGCCCUAAACGAUGUCAACUGGUUGUUGGACGGCUUGCUGUUCAGUAACGAAGCUAACGCGUGAAGUUGACCGCCUGGGGAGUACGGCCGCAAGGUUGAA
rnacentral:rRNA from 1 species